GGNUUGGUGCCUUCGGGAACUCUGAGACAGGUGCUGCAUGGCUGUCGUCAGCUCGUGUUGUGAAAUGUUGGGUUAAGUCCCGCAACGAGCGCAACCCUUAUCCUUUGUUGCCAGCGGUUAGGCCGGGAACUCAAAGGAGACUGCCAGUGAUAAACUGGAGGAAGGUGGGGAUGACGUCAAGUCAUCAUGGCCCUUACGAGUAGGGCUACACACGUGCUACAAUGGCGCAUACAAAGAGAAGCGACCUCGCGAGAGCAAGCGGACCUCAUAAAGUGCGUCGUAGUCCGGAUUGGAGUCUGCAACUCGACUCCAUGAAGUCGGAAUCGCUAGUAAUCGUAGAUCAGAAUGCUACGGUGAAUACGUUCCCGGGCCUUGUACACACCGCCCGUCACACCAUGGGAGUGGGUUGCAAAAGAAGUAGGUAGCUUAACNUUCGGGAGGCGCUACCA
rnacentral:rRNA from 1 species